CACUCUGUUAGUUCGACCGCAGUGUGAACUUGUUUUUAUAAGGAGCUGCCGACCCGGGGGAGUCUGAAAGGACGCAUAAUUUCUACUAUGAAUUGGCCAAAAAAUGAUUCGUUUGUGAAGUCUACCUUAUAUGAUAAUUUUUUAGAUUAUCUCGACCCGAUUUCGGACUCGUAAGGAUCCGUAGGAUCGACUGGAAUUCUAAAAUCGAAUGUUUGACAGAAUGGGUCCAAACGGUUAAGGCGAUAUAACAGAAGUCUCUUACGUGGACAUCUCUCUUUCGUGUACCUGAGAGCAAUCUGAAUAAAUCAACAUGCAAUUACGAAUCCCAUAAAAAA